rnacentral:tRNA from 1 species
GUGGAUGAAGUGUUGCUGGCUGCACGCGGCCCUGCCACGGUCGCAGACCGGGUUCGAAUCCCGGCGUCCACACCA